UCGUGUGAUCGUGUUUCCAAUAGCAACAGAUCUAGCAAAUUACUUGUGAUCUUUAGUAUACUGCCAGCUCCAUUUCAUGCAUUUACCACCCGCAUUUAUCACUCGCAUUUAACACAUACGAUAAAUACACGAUCAUCCAUA